rnacentral:misc_RNA from 1 species
GUAGGUGAACCUGCGGAAGGAUCAUUAACACAUCCCCAACCCUUUUCUUCUUUUUCUUUAAAACGGAAAAGAAGAUUUGAACCCCCUUCAUUGCGAACUCGUUUGGAAGUGCAUCACAUGACCACUUCCGCUUUUUUCCUUUUCUCUUUCUAAAAAACCCCAAUGGAAAAAAUCAACUGACUGAAAUCGUUUUUUCUUCUUCUUUCUCCUUCCUUCUUCUUCUCCUUUCUUUGGUUUUGCUCUUGCAAAACACGAGAGAGAGAGAGCGAGAGAGAGAGCGAGCGAGCGAGAAGCAAAAAACUAAAAAACCAAAAACAAAAAUUAUGAAACAACUCUUAGCAACGGAUAUCUUGGCUCUC